rnacentral:rRNA from 1 species
GUUAGAGUUUGAUCAUGGCUCAGGAUGAACGCUGGCGGCNNGCUUAACACAUGCAAGUCGAACGGAGAGCGUAUGACAGAGGAUUCGUCCAAUGGAUUGCGUUUCUUAGUGGCGGACGGGUGAGUAACGCGUGAGGAACCCGCCUCGGAGUGGGGAAUAACACAACGAAAGCUGUGCUAAUACCGCAUGAUGCAGCUGGGUCGCAUGACUCUGGCUGCCAAAGAUUUAUCGCUCUGAGAUGGCCUCGCGUCUGAUUAGCUGGUUGGCGGGGUAACGGCCCACCAAGGCGGCGAUCAGUAGCCGGACUGAGAGGUUGGCCGGCCACAUUGGGACUGAGACACGGCCCAGACUCCUACGGGAGGCAGCAGUGGGGAAUAUUGGGCAAUGGGCGCAAGCCUGACCCAGCAACGCCGCGUGAAGGAAGAAGGCCCUCGGGUUGUAAACUUCUUUUGUCAGGGACGAAGCAAGUGACGGUACCUGACGAAUAAGCCACGGCUAACUACGUGCCAGCAGCCGCGGUAAUACGUAGGUGGCAAGCGUUAUCCGGAUUUACUAGGUGUAAAGGGCGUGUAGGCGGGGUUGCAAGUCAGAUGUGAAAACCACGGGCUCAACCUGUGGCCUGCAUUUGAAACUGCAGUUCUUGAGUACUGGAGAGGCAGACG